GUUGAGGUCUAUCCCGAUGGGGCUUUUCCUAUAGCCACUCAUUGUUGGAAACGCCUCAUAGAGUAACUGUGGUUUUGCUUUACUCGAGACUUUCUUAGGUCUAUUGGAAGGAACUAUGAGACAAUU